rnacentral:rRNA from 1 species
GAUGAACGCUGGCGGCGUGCCUAAUACAUGCAAGUCGAGCGAACGGACGAGAAGCUUGCUUUUCUGAUGUUAGCGGCGGACGGGUGAGUAACACGUGGAUAACCUACCUAUAAGACUGGGAUAACUUCGGGAAACCGGAGCUAAUACCGGAUAAUAUUUUGAACCGCAUGGUUCAAAAGUGAAAGACGGUCUUGCUGUCACUUAUAGAUGGAUCCGCGCUGCAUUAGCUAGUUGGUAAGGUAACGGCUUACCAAGGCAACGAUGCAUAGCCGACCUGAGAGGGGGAUCGGCCACACUGGAACUGAGACACGGUCCAGACUCCUACGGGAGGCAGCAGUAGGGAAUCUUCCGCAAUGGGCGAAAGCCUGACGGAGCAACGCCGCGUGAGUGGUGAAGGUCUUCGGAUCGUAAAACUCUGUUAUUAGGGAAGAACAUAUGUGUAAGUAACUGUGCACAUCUUGACGGUACCUAAUCAGAAAGCCACGGCUAACUACGU